rnacentral:rRNA from 1 species
GACGAACGCUGGCGGCGUGCCUAAUACAUGCAAGUCGAGCGCAGGAAGCUGACGGAACUCUUCGGAGGGAAGGCAGUGGAAUGAGCGGCGGACGGGUGAGUAACACGUAAGGAACCUGCCUCAAGGAUUGGGAUAACUCCGAGAAAUCGGAGCUAAUACCGGAUAGUUCAACGGACCGCAUGGUCCGCUGAUGAAAGGCGCUCCGGCGUCACCUUGAGAUGGCCUUGCGGUGCAUUAGCUAGUUGGUGGGGUAACGGCCCACCAAGGCGACGAGGCAUAGCCGACCUGAGAGGGUGAUCGGCCACACUGGGACUGAGACACGGCCCAGACUCCUACGGGAGGCAGCAGUAGGGAAUCUUCCACAAUGGACGAAAGUCUGAUGGAGCAACGCCGCGUGAGUGAUGAAGGUUUACGGAUCGUAAAACUCUGUUGUAAGGGAAGAACACGUACGAGAGGAAAUGCUCGUACCUUGACGGUACCUUACGAGAAAGCCACGGCUAAUUACGUGCCAGCCGCCGCAGUAAAAC